UACAGAGGGUGCGAACGUUGUUCGGAAUCACUGGGCGUAAAGCGCACGUAGGCGGCACCGCAAGUGUGGUGUGAAAUCCCACGGCUUACCCGUGGAACUGCCUGGCAGACUGCGGUGCUAGAGGUUGGUAGGGGAGAGCGGAACUCUUGGUGGAGCGGUGAAAUGCGUAGAUAUCAAGAGGAACACCGGUGGCGAAGGCGGCUCUCUGGUCCAAUCCUGACGCUGAGGUGCGAAAGCUAGGGGAGCAAACGGG
rnacentral:rRNA from 1 species